UACGUAGGGACCAAGCGUUGUUCGGAUUUACUGGGCGUAAAGGGCGCGUAGGCGGCGUGUUAAGUCAGCUGUGAAAUCUCCAAGCUUAACUUGGAACGGUCAGCUGAUACUGAUGUGCUAGAGUGCAGAAGGGGCAAUCGGAAUUCUUGGUGUAGCGGUGAAAUGCGUAGAUAUCGGAAGGAACACCAGUGGCGAAGGCGGCUAUCUGGACUGACACUGACGCUGAGGCGCGAGAGCGUGGGGAGCAAACAGG
rnacentral:rRNA from 1 species